UCCUGCGAUUUUUGUGCUCUAGAAAUGUC
rnacentral:piRNA from 1 species